rnacentral:rRNA from 1 species
UACGUAGGGGGCAAGCGUUGUCCGGAAUCAUUGGGCGUAAAGCGCGUGUAGGCGGUCCAGUAAGUCCGCUCUGAAAGCCCAGGGCUCAACCCUGGGAGGCGGGUGGAUACUACUGGACUAGAGUACGGAAGAGGAGAUUGGAAUUCCUGGUGUAGCGGUGAAAUGCGCAGAUAUCAGGAGGAACACCAACAGCGAAGGCAGAUCUCUGGGACGUAACUGACGCUGAGACGCGAAAGCGUGGGGAGCAAACAGG